UUUGGCGUUGGGGUUAAAAUCACUGUCCAAAACCUUUGUAGGAACUCUUUUCCAACCUUUUGGAUUUAGUUAGACCAAAAAAAACAAUGAAAAAUGAAAAAAAAAUAUUUGGUGUUUUCGGGCUUCCUGAAGGUAUUAGGUUUUGGGGCUAGGGGAAGGUUUAAGGUUUUUGGCGUUAGGGUUAAAAUCACUGUCCAAAACCUUUGUAGGAACUCUUUUCCAACCUUUUGGAUUUAGUUAGACCAAAAAAAACAAUGAAAAAUGAAAAAAAUAUAUUUGGGGUUUUCGGGCUUCCUGAAGGUAUUAGGUUUUGGGGCUAGGGGAAGGUUUAAGGUUUUUGGCGUUAGGGUUAAAAUCACUGUCCAAAACCUUUGUAGGAACUCUUUUCCAACCUUUUGGAGUUAGUUACACCAAAAAAAAAUGAAAAAUAAAAAAAAUAUAUUUUGGGUUUUCGGGCUUCCUGAAGGUAAUACCCGGGUAUUAGGUUAUGGGGCUUUGGUAAAGGUUUAAGGUUUUUGGCGUUAGGGUUAAAAUCACUGUCCAAAACCUUUGUAGGAACUCUUUUCCAACCUUUUGGAGUUAGUUAGACCAAAAAAAAAAGAAAAAAGAAAAAAAAUAUUUGGGGUUUUCGGGCUUCCUGAAGGUAAUACCCGGGUAUUAGGUCAUGGGGCUAGGGUAAGGUUUAAGGUUUUUGGCGUUAGGGUUAAAAUCACUGUCCAAAACCUUUGUAGGAACUCUUUUCCAACCUUUUGGAGUUAGUUAGACCAAAAAAAACAAUGAAAAAUGAAAAAAAAAUAUUUGGUGUUUUCGGGCUUCCUGAAGGUAUUAGGUUUUGGGGCUAGGGGAAGGUUUAAGGUUUUUGGCGUUAGGGUUAAAAUCACUGUCCAAAACCUUUGUAGGAACUCUUUUCCAACCUUUUGGAGUUAGUUAGACCAAAAAAAACAAUGAAAAAUGAAAAAAAUAUAUUUGGUGUUUUCGGGCUUCCUGAAGGUAUUAGGUUUUGGGGCUAGGGGAAGGUUUAAGGUUUUUGGCGUUAGGGUUAAAAUCACUGUCCAAAACCUUUGUAGGAACUCUUUUCCAACCUUUUGGAGUUAGUUAGACCAAAAAAAAAAAAAGAAAAAAGAAAAAAAAUAUUUGGGGUUUUCCGGCUUCCUGAAGGUAUUACCCGGGUAUUAGGUUAUGGGGCUAGGUUAGGUUUAAGGUUUUUGGCGUUGGGGUAAAAUCACUGUCCAAAACCUUGGUAGGAACUCUUUUCCAACCUUUUGGAGUUAGUUAGACCAAAUAAUAAUGAAAAAUGAAAAAAAAAAUAUUUGGGGUAUUCGGGCUUCCUGAAGGUAAUAGGUUAUGGGGCUAGGGUAAGGUUUAAGGUUUUUGGCGUUAGGGUCAAAAUCACUGUCCAAAACCUUUGUAGGAACUCUUUUCCAACAUUUGUGAGUUAGUUACACCAAAAACAAAAAUGAAAAAUGAAAAAAAAAUAUUUGGGGUAUUCGGGCUUCCUGAAGGUAAUACCUGUAUUAGGUUAUGGGGCUAUGGUAAGAUUUAAGGUUUUUGGCUUGAGGGCUAAAAUCACUGUCCAAAACCUUUUAUGAACAUGUUUCAGACCUUUUGAGGUUGGUUACACCAAAACAAAAUGUAAAAUGAAAAAAAAUAUGGGGCUAGGUUAGGUUUAAGGUUUUUGGCAUUGGGGUUAAAAUCACUGUCCAAAAUCUUUGUAGAAACUCUUUUCCAACCUUUUGGAGUAAGUUAGACCAAAAAAAAAAGAAAAAAAAAAUAUUUGGGGUUCUCGGGCUUCCUGAAGGUAAUACCCGGGUAUUAGGUUUUGGGGCUAGGGAAAGGUUUAAGGUUUUUGGCGUUAGGGUUAAAAUCACUGUCCAAAACCUUUGUAGGAACUCUUUUCCAACCUUUUGGAGUUAGUUAGACCAAAUAAUAAUGAAAAAUGAAAAAAAAAUAUUUGGGGUAUUCGGGCUUCCUGAAGGUAAUACCCGGGUAUUUGGUUUUGGGGCUAUGGUAAGGUUUAAGGUUUUUGGCGUUAGGGUCAAAAUCACUGUCCAAAACCUUUGUAGGAACUCUUUUCCAACCUUUUGGAGUUAGUUAGACCAAAAAAAAAAAGAACAAAGAAAAAAAAUAUUUGGGGUUUUCGAGCUUCCUGAAGGUAUUACCCGGGUAAUAGGUUAUGGGGCUUGGGUAGGUUUAAGGUUUUCUGCGUUGGGGUUAAAAUCACUGUCCAAAACCUUUGUAGGAACUCUUUUCCAACCUUUUGGAGUUAGUUACACCAAAAAAAAAAAAAAGAAAAAUGAAAAAAAAAUAUUUGGGGUUUCCGGGCUUCCUGAAGGUAAUAGGUUUUGGGGCUAGGGUAAGGUUUAAGGUUUUUGGCGUUAGGGUUAAAAUCACUGUCCAAAACCUUUGUAGGAACUCUUUUCCAACCUUUUGGAGUUAGUUAGACCAAAAAAAAAAUGAAAAAUGAAAAAAAAAUAUUUGGGGUUUUCGGGCUUCCUGAAGGUAUUAGGUUUUGGGGCUAGGGUAAGGUUUAACGUUUUUGGCGUUAGGGUCAAAAUCACUGUCCAAAACCUUUUUAGGAACUCUUUUCCAACCUUUUGGAGUUAGUUACACCAAAAAAAAAUGAAAAAUAAAAAAAAUAUAUUUUGUGUUUUCAGGCUUCCUGAAGGUAAUAUCCGGGUAAUAGGUUAUGGGGCUUGGGUAGGUUUAAGGUUUUCUGCGUUGGGGUUAAAAUCACUGUCCAAAACCUUUGUAGGAACUCUUUUCCAACCUUUUGGAGUUAGUUAGACCAAAAAAAAAAGAAAAAAGAAAAAAAAUAUUUGGUGUUUUCGGGCUUCCUGAAGGUAUUAGGUUUUGGGGCUAGGGGAAGGUUUAAGGUUUUUGGCGUUAGGGUUAAAAUCACUGUCCAAAACCUUUGUAGGAACUCUUUUCCAACCUUUUGGAUUUAGUUAGACCAAAAAAAACAAUGAAAAAUGAAAAAAAAAUAUUUGGUGUUUUCGGGCUUCCUGAAGGUAUUAGGUUUUGGGGCUAGGGGAAGGUUUAAGGUUUUUGGCGUUAGGGUUAAAAUCACUGUCCAAAACCUUUGUAGGAACUCUUUUCCAACCUUUUGAAUUUAGUUAGACCAAAAAAAAAAAAGAAAAAAGAAAAAAAAUAUUUGGGGUUUUCGGGCUUCCUGAAGGUAUUACACGGGUAUUCGGUUAUGGGGCUAGGGGAAGGUUUAAGGUUUUUGGCGUUAGGGUUAAAAUAACUGUCCAAAACCUUUGUAGGAACUCUUUUCCAACCUUUAGGAGUUAGUUACACCAAAUAAUAAUGAAAAAUGAAAAAAAAAUAUUUUGGGUUUUCGGGCUUCCUGAAGGUAAUACCCGCGUAUUAGGUUUUGGGGCUAGGGUAAAGUUUAAGGUUUUUGGCGUUAGGGUUAAAAUCACUGUCCAAAACCUUUGUAGGAACUCUUUUCCAACCUUUUGGAGAUGGUUAGACCAAAAAAAAAAGAAAAAAGAAAAAAAUAUAUUUGGGGUUUUCGGGCUUCCUGAAGGUAAUACCCGUAUUAGGUUAUGGGGCUAGGGUAAGGUUUAAGGUUUUUGGCGUUAGGGUUAAAAUCACUGUCCAAAACCUUUUUUGGAACUCUUUUCCAACCUUUUGGAGUUAGUUAGACCAAAAAAUAACGAAAAAUGAAAAAAAAAAUAUUUGGAGUGUUCAGGCUUCCUGAAGGUAAUACCCGGGUAUAAGAUUUUGGGGCUAGGGUAAGGUUUAACGUUUUUGGCGUUAGGGUCAAAAUCACUGUCCAAAACCUUUGUAGGAAAUCUUUCCCAACAUUUUGGAGUUAGUUAGACCAAAUAAUAAUGAAAAAUGAAAAAAAAAUAUUUGGGGUUUUCGGGCUUCCUGAAGGUAAUACCCGGGUAUUGGGUUUUGGGGCUAGGGUAAGGUUUAAGGUUUUUGGCAUUAGGGUCAAAAUCACUAUCCAAAUCCUCUGUAGGAACUCUUUUCCAACCUUUCGGAGUUAGUUAGACCAAAAAAAAAUGAACAAUGAAACAAAAAUAUUUGGGGUGUUCGGGCUUCCUGAAGGUAAUUCCCAGGUAUUAGGUUAUGGGACUUUGGAAAGGUCUUAGGUUUUUGGCGUUAGGGUUAAAAUCACUGUUCAAAACCUUUGUAGGAACUCUUUUCCAACCUUUUGGAGUUAGUUAUACCAGAAAAAAGAAAAAAGAAAAAAAACAUUUGGGGUUUUCGGGCUUCCUGAAGGUAUUAGGUUUUGGGGCUAGGGUAAGGUUUAACGUUUUUGGCGUUGGGGUUAAAAUCACUGUCCAAAACCUUUGUAGGAACUCUUUUCCAACCUUUUGGAGUUAGUUAGACCAAAAAAAAAAAGAACAAAGAAAAAAAAUAUUUGGGGUUUUCGGGCUUCCUGAAGGUAAUACCCGGGUAAUAGGUUAUGGGGCUUGGGUAGGUUUAAGGUUUUCUGCGUUGGGGUUAAAAUCACUGUCCAAAACCUUUGUAGGAACUCUUUUCCAACCUUUUGGAGUUAGUUACACCAAAAAAAAAAAAAAGAAAAAUGAAAAAAAAAAAUAUUUGGGGUGUUAGGGCUUCCUGAAGGUAAUACCCGGGUAUUAGGUUAUGGGGCUAUGAUAAGAUUUAAGGUUUUUGGCGUGAGGGCUAAAAUCACUGUCCAAAACCUUUUUAGGAACAUGUUUCAGACCUUUUGAGGUUGGUUACACCAAAACAAAAUGUAAAAUGAAAAAAAAUAUUUGGGGUGUUCGGACUUCCUGAAGGUAAUACCCGGGUAUUAGGUUUUGGGGCUAGGGUAAGGUUUAAGGUUUUUGGCGUUAGGGUUAAAAUCACUGUCCAAAACCUUUGUAGGAACUCUUUUCCAACCUUUUGGAGUUAGUUGGACCAAAAAAAAAAAGAAAAAAGAAAAAAAAUAUUUGGGGUUUUCAGGCUUCCUGAAGGUAAGGUAAUAUUAGGUUAUGGGGGUAGGGUAGGUUUAAGGUUUUUGGCGUUGGGGUUAAAAUCACUGUCCAAAACCUUUGUAGGAACUCUUUUCCAACCUUUAGGAGUUAGUUAGACCAAAAAAAAAAAUGAAAAAUGAAAAAAAAAUAUUUGGGGUUUUCGGGCUUCCUGAAGGUAUUAGGUUUUGGGGCUAGGGUAAGGUUUAACGUUUUUGGCGUUAGGGUCAAAAUCACUGUCCAAAACCUUUGUAGGAACUCUUUUCCAACCUUUUGGAGUUAGUUACACAAAAAAACAAAUGAAAAAUGAAAAAAAAAUAUUUGGUGUUUUCAGGCUUCCUGAAGGUAAUAUCUAGGUAAUAGGUUAUGGGGCUUGGGUAGGUUUAAGGUUUUUGGCGUUUAGGUUAUAAUCACUGUCCAAAACCUUUGUAGGAACUCUUUUCCAACCUUUUGGAGUUAGUUACACCAAAAAGAAAAAAUGAAAAAUGAAAAAAAAAAAUUUGGGGUUUCCGGGCUUCCUGAAGGUAUUAGGUUUUGGGGCUAGGGUAAGGUUUAAGGUUUUUGGCGUUAGGCUCAAAAUCACUGUCCAAAACCUUUGUAGGAACUCUUUUCCAACAUUUUGGAGUUAGUUAGACCAAAAAAUAACGAAAAAUGAAAAAAAAAAUAUUUGGGGUGUUCGGGCUUCCUGAAGGUAAUACCCGUAUUAGGUUAUGGGGCUAUGAUAAGAUUUAAGGUUUUUGGCGUGAGGGCUAAAAUCACUGUCCAAAACCUUUUUAGGAACAUGUUUCAGAUCUUUUGAGGUUGGUUACACCAAAACAAAAUGUAAAAUGAAAAAAAAUAUUUGGGGUGUUCGGGCUUCCUGAAGGUAAUACCCGGGUAUUAGGUUUUGGGGCUAGGGUAGGUUUAAGGUUUUUGGCGUUGGGGUUAAAAUCACUGUCCAAAACCUUUGUAGGAACAUGUUUCAGACCUUUUGGAGUUAGUUAGACCAAAAAAAAAAUGAAAAAUGAAAAAAAAUAUUUGGGGUUUUCGGGCUUCCUGAAGGUAUUAGGUUUUGGGGCCAGGGGAAGGUUUAAGGUUUUUGGCGUUAGGGUUAAAAUCACUGUCCAAAACCUUUGUAGGAACUCUUCCAACCUUUUGGAGGUAGUUAGACCAAAAAAAAAAGAAAAAAGAAUAAAUAAUAUUUGGGGUUUUCGGGCUUCCUGAAGGUAUUACCCGGGUAUUAGGUUAUGGGGCUAGGGUAGGUUUAAGGUUUUUGGCGUUAGGGUUAAAAUCACUGUCCAAAACCUUUGUAGGAACUCUUUUCCAACCUUUUGGAGUUAGUUACCCCAAAAAAAAAAUGAAAAAUGAAAAAAAAACAUUUGGGGUUUUCGGGCUUCCUGAAGGUAAUACCCGCGUAUUAGGUUUUGGGGCUAGGGUAAGGUUUAAGGUUUUUGGCGUUAGGGUUAAAAUCACUGUCCAAAACCUUUGUAGGAACUCUUUUCCAA